UACGUAGGUGGCAAGCGUUGUCCGGAUUUAUUGGGUUUAAAGGGUGCGUAGGCGGUCAUGUAAGUCAGCGGUGAAAUCCGGCAGCUCAACUGUCGAUGUGCCAUUGAUACUGCAUGACUUGAGUACUGAUGAGGUAGGCGGAAUUGACGGUGUAGCGGUGAAAUGCUUAGAUAUCGUCAAGAACACCGAUAGCGAAGGCAGCUUACUAAGCAGUAACUGACGCUGAGGCACGAAAAGUGUGGGGGAUCAAACAGG
rnacentral:rRNA from 1 species